UACGUAGGUGGCAAGCGUUGUCCGGAAUUAUUGGGCGUAAAGCGCGCGCAGGCGGUUCCUUAAGUCUGAUGUGAAAGCCCCCGGCUCAACCGGGGAGGGUCAUUGGAAACUGGGGAACUUGAGUGCAGGAGAGGAAAGCGGAAUUCCACGUGUAGCGGUGAAAUGCGUAGAUAUGUGGAGGAACACCAGUGGCGAAGGCGGCUUUCUGGUCUGUAACUGACGCUGAGGCGCGGAAGCGUGGGGAGCAAACAGG
rnacentral:rRNA from 1 species